rfam:Triticum aestivum genome assembly, contig: Triticum_aestivum_CS42_TGACv1_scaffold_499333_6AS
CAACUACUCCCUCUGUCCCAAAUUUCUUGUCUUAGAUUUGUCUAGAUACGGAUGUAUCUAAUACUAAAAUGUGACUUGAUACAUCCGUAUCUAGAAAAAUCUAAGACAAGAAUUUUGGGACGGAGGGAGUACUUU